GCGGCGCCGGGCGGCAGAGGAGGGGCCGGGGGAUCCUGCCUUGCACUCGCGUGCCGGGACCUUGGAAGCCAGGCCUGGCUCGUUCAACGCGGCCGCCUUGGUCACAGGAGUCCCAGUUUCCAGCUGCCUCCUCCUUUGGACCUAGCAGUCCAGGCCCCCAGCCCCUCCUCCCUUCAGACCCAGGAGUCCAGGCAUCCGGCCCCUCCUCCCUCAGACCCAGGACUUGCGACCCCAGCCACCUCUCCCCCCAGCCCCAGGCGCCUGAGUACUAAGCCCACAGUUCCCCCCACCACCUCCCAACCCCGCCCCGUCUCAGACUCAGGAGUCCAGCCCCCAGCCUCCUCCUCCAUUAGCCCCAGGAGUCUGGGCCUGAGAUUCCUUUGCCGUCUUUUGCCAAUUGCGUGUCAAUCCCGGGGCAGAUUCCCACCCUCUGCUCUCCUCCCCACUUCCCAGGAGCUCCACGCCAGACAUUAACCAGCUGGGCUUGGGCAGUGAUAAGGCCCCAGGCCCGGGGAGACAGUGGAUGUGGGGGCUCCCGCAUACUCCUCUCCCCUGGAAUUUCCUGGCUGGGGACCGGGGAGAAGGUCUUGUCCUGAGCUCAGAUAAGAGACGUGCAAGGUAUCAUAGGACCAGAGAUAGACAGAUGUGUCUUAAGAACAAUCAGCUACCUUGAGAAAUGGUGCGCGGUGACAUGAAGGGAGAGAUAGGGAGAAGACAUGGAAAAGUGGGGAGAGACCAAAAGAAAGAGGGGGACCGAGACUAGAGAGAGUGGGGGAGGGCAGGAGCCCAGAGAGAAGACAGAGGCCCAGAGAGCGUGAGGGCAGACCCCCCCACCCCCCCGAGAAGGGGACAGAGCCCCUGAGAGACCCUGAGAAAGACAGGGAUGGGACCGGAGCCGGAGUGUCUCAGGACAGUCAUGAGGGCAGCGGGGCUCCUCACCCCACCACACCUCUACCCUGAGACUCCGCUCCCCUCCGCCUGCGCUAUUUUCAGAAGGAAAACUGACACCUGCCUCGAGGGUCAUCCCACACCCCCUCAGCCUAAAUAUAGCAUGGCAAGGUGGCAGGAGGGUGUCCCCGGUUAGGGUGUUUCCUGCUCCUCACCAUCCCAGCCAAGGCAACACACAAGGCCGCUCCAGUUAUUUAUUGGGGGUGGGGGGAAGGGCCACUUCCCAGGCUUUGGGUGUGCAUUCAGGUCACCUCUCCGGCUUCUCCACCCUUCCCCUGUUCCUAAACAGCCAAUACAUCCUGCCGCAUAGCAGGAGGACUCUAGCUUCUAGCUUCUAGCUUCUAGUCCUGGAGGGGAUAGUAGGGAUGAGGUUUCCAAACAGAGUGACUGGGAAACAGUCUCUGUCCCCCUAUCUCCAGGUCUCUGUUCCCCUCCCUCUGGAUUUCUGUCUCCCUCCAACUCUGGGUCUGUCCUUCUCUCUCUGAGUCUCUGUCCCCCUCUCUCUCUGGGUCUCUGUCCCUCUCUCUCUGGGUCUCUGUCCCCCUCUCUCUCUGGGUCUCUGUCCCCUUCUGUCUGUGGGUCUCUGUCCCUCUCUCUCUGGGUCUCUGUCCCCCUCUCUCUCUGGGUCUCUGUCCCCUUCACUCUCUGGGUCUCUGUCUCUCUCUCUGUCUCUGGAUCUCUGUCCCCCCUCUCUCUGGGUCUCUGUUCCCCCCCAGGUCUCUGUCCCCCCUUCUCUCUGGGUCUCUGUCCCCCUCUUUCUAGGUCCCAGUUUUCUUCUCUCUGGAUAUCUGUCCACCCUCUCUGGGUCCCAGUCUCCUUCUUGCUGAGCCUCUUGCAUCCUCUCUCUUGGGGUCACUGUCUGCUUCUCUUUCCCCUCGUGGGGGUCUCUGUGCUGGAGUCCAACCUGUCUCUUGUCACUGUGAGGUCCGUCUCCAUUCUGUCCCUAAAUCUGGCUUUCUCUCCAUUUCAGAGAGAAGUGACUACCUAAAGCUUCUAUUAAUUUCAACCAUUAUCAAACUCCUCUCACCAUCUGUACCUUCUCUUUAGCUGUAUGAAAAGGUGCUCAGAUGAAACCAGGGGUUUCCACACUGAAUUCCUGAGCUGCAUUUUGAGUUGCCAAGAGGAGGCGUGUUCUCCUCCAACCAGUUCCCUUCCCAUGCUUCCCACUGGUGUCUCUAAGGAAGAUUUAUUUGACCCAAAAAAGGGGUGGGUAUGGCUAAAAAUAACAACAACAGUCUGUAAACCACUGGAUAGGUUUUAAUAAAUUAACCCAAGUAAAGUACUUUGAUACCAAAGGAAGCCCUAUAUGUGUUAGUGAUUUCAGCCUUCUUCCUCUAAAUGCCCUUUG
rnacentral:lncRNA from 1 species